AGUGGCAUAAAAGGGACUGGCUAUCAUCUUCUGUAUUCUGCAGUUUUUGGCAAUGACAUGGUAUAGCAUCUCUUACAUUCCAUUUGCCAGGGAUGCUGUGAUGAAAUGCUUCACAACCUGUUUGAGUUAGGGCUUUGGAGUCCACAAUUUCAUGUGAAGACUGGUCCUAAUAUGCAAACUGCAAGAACAGUGUCUCUGUAAAAUAUAAAUCUAUGUUGUUUAUGCACUAUAUCUCCAAAUUUCUACUGUCGCUGUUUCAUACUGUGAAGCUUUUUAGGGCUAGCUUAAGUUUUAUAACAAUAAUCACAUUAUAACGCUUAUCUAUCUUUUGCUUUGGAUGUGAGAGUGCCUUUAAUGCAUAUAAUAUAUUUAAGGAUAUUCCUAUAUUUUCUGAGAAUUUUAUACCAUUUGAAUGCAGGGAAAUGAUUUUGACUUUGCUUUACAUUUUAAUUUACAACACAAGUGCUUUAACAUUGUAUAUACACAUAAAUAUAUGAAGAGAUGUGUUGACAUAUUGACCUACCAUACAUAUUUACAUCUUUAACAGUGUGAAAUUUGGUUUUCUUCUGGAUUUAUAAAUGGUUUUCUGACUUCCAACACACAAACAUUAUUAAAAGACACUCAUUGCCUUUCUGUUCUCUCUCUGUGUAUGAGGCACUGAUGUAUAAAGAGGUGCUCAGAUGCUAUUCCAUGUUUAUAUAUGAUCAUUUUCCCUGAGGCAAUUGAGGCACUGCUUCACUGCUGAUGAUCCUCUGGGAUACAUGAUAUCCACUGCUCUUUUGAGUUUUUUUCCAGCUAAAGAGAUUAAAAAAGCAGCUCCUGUCUAGUCUCUUAGUCUUCAAUGUGCCUUCGAACACACCUGCCCCCCAUAACUCAACAAAUUACAUUCAGAUUGCAUCUCUUUUUUUAAAUUUGAUUUCCUGCCAGAUGUAGCAAUGACCCAGUUAAUUACGCUUUCCUGAGCAUUGUGAUUUUGACGUGACCUAAUAACCCAGUAUAGCUUUCACAGGGUUCCCUAUAUUGCUUCAGCAUGAUGGCGUAGCCUUUGAGGAUGUGGUUGUCAUGACAACCUCCUCCGGAAGAUUCAUAACCUCUGCCAACCCCCCGUCUGUGGUGCAGAUGUUCGCAUUAUCCUGAUGAGAAGAGAAGAGGGCUCCCA